CCUACGGGAGGCAGCAGUGAGGAAUAUUGGUCAAUGGACGAGAGUCUGAACCAGCCAAGUAGCGUGAAGGAUGACUGCCCUAUGGGUUGUAAACUUCUUUUAUAUGGGAAUAAAAUGUUCCACGUGUGGGAUUUUGUAUGUACCAUAUGAAUAAGGAUCGGCUAACUCCGUGCCAGCAGCCGCGGUAAUACGGAGGAACCGAGCGUUAUCCGGAUUUAUUGGGUUUAAAGGGAGCGUAGGUGGAUUGUUAAGUCAGUUGUGAAAGUUUGCGGCUCAACCGUAACAUUGCAGUUGAAACUGGCAGUCUUGAGUACAGUAGAGGUGGGCGGAAUUCGUGGUGUAGCGGUGAAAUGCUUAGAUAUCACGAAGAACUCCGAUUGCGAAGGCAGUUCACUGGACUGCAACUGACACUGAGGCUCGAAAGUGUGGGUAUCAAACAGGAUUAGAUACCCUAGUAGUC
rnacentral:rRNA from 1 species